UUUCCAAGGCAUUCCAGAAGAAGAGAGUCUUGUGCAAGGAGGAGCAAUUGCAGGUCUUGGAGUUGGAGAUUGUUGAUCUUGAGAGCGAACUCCAGAUUGUCUUCAGGAGACUGAUCCAAUCCAGGGUCUCGCUUCUCAACACUCUUAGCCUGUAGAAAGAUCAUACACAAACAAACUCAGUUUUCCUGCGAUUAGCAUCCACCUUUUAGAGGAUUGGCUGAUCAUCAAAACAAUUUGAUGUAUAUAUGUGAAAGUGUACAGAAAAAUACACAAUGAAAGAGCAAAGUUUUGAUCCAUUUGAUAUUGUCAAUAUUGUCUGAUGUUUGUUUUUUUUUGGGUCCCAACUUGACAUAGAAGACAGCUAAAUUGCUAAACUAGGAUCUUGAGAUAAAGUUUUGCAUCGAAGAAAAUCCCUUUAACUCUUUAUUUUUGGUUUAUAAAAGAAAUUAGUAGUCCUUUGAUGAGAUGGACACGGUUAGUGUUCACAUGUGAUGUGGCUCAACAACAGGCACAAGAUCCUUGUGAAGUGGAUCUUGCUCUGUUUAACUGAUAGCAUGCCAGCUCAAGCCACGAGAUUUGAGCUCGCAAUUGAUAAUUGUUUAGUUCUAGAACUAGCCGCUAUUCUGAUUCUUGCUGCCAAUACUUGGAACAUGAUGAUGUGGUUUGGUUAGUUCCAACGGUCAAGAAAUUUGGACAGCAUGUGGAUCAUCUCGAAAUUGCAAACUUCAGAUUCCAAAUGCUGGAAGCACCAGCAGGCAGGACAAAGUGGCACGAAGAAUCAUGAAUGCUAAAGUCAAAUGUUCAACAGCAUCCAGCUCUUCUCACGAUCUGAAUCUAUCAUUAAACUCGGCACUCGUGCAGAUGACUUUGCUGCCGAUUAGCGAAACAUCCCACGCUGAUCAUUAGCUCAAUAAAACUUAGAAGAGAUGCCUCUAAAGAUGAACAAACAAAAAAACAAGUGGAUACCUGGCUUUGUCGCUGCAGCACAGGCACCUCACCAUCGAUGAGAUUCUUGCUGUCUAUAUGGUCACCGAUGCCACUUCUUCAGCUUGUUCUGUUAUAUAUAGAGGCAAGCCAUAGCCGGAUCGACGCCAUUGCAGCGGCUUCAUCUCUUCUUUUCCACUCUGAAAUUCCUGUAACCAACAGCAUUUGUUGUAUGCAUUGCCAUUUGCCAAGCAUGUUAUGCAGCGCUACUGAUUUUGCAGUGUACUAAAUGCUUUGCAAUCGCCCAAACAACCAUAAACUGCAUCAUUUCACAAGAUGCAAGAAGGGGCAAGAAAAAGGUGCAGAGUGCAACCGAAUCUAAUAUUUAAGCUGCAUCGGAUCAAUCAAACGUUUAGCCUUUACCUUUAAUCGCGGAGUAGGUCGCAGGCGGCCGGAGGGGGAGGGCGCAGCGGUGAUUUGGGGCCACUCCCGAGUCCCCACCGAGGGCGCACGGAUGGGUGCGGUUCCCAGCGCACGAGAAGGGACAGAUGCUAUCUGGCGAUACUCCCACGACCUGAACUCCGGCCUCUUGUGGCGCCGGCGCCGGCCGCCGGUGGACGGGAACGGAUGUUAUGGGCCAUGGGGAGAGCCGAAGCAAAUGAGGACUGCUAUGCUAAAAGUUAGGGGUUUAUUGCAAAAUACUGGAUCGCGAUCCAUUUUUGGAGGUUUUAUGAAAAUAUUUAGGGGUUCAUACGUAAAAUUGGCUGGAAUCUUGGGGAGCUGGGGCCUGGGGGCGAUG
rnacentral:lncRNA from 1 species